AGCGAACGCUGGCGGCAGGCCUAACACAUGCAAGUCGAACGAUCCUUCGGGAUAGUGGCGGACGGGUGAGUAACACGUGGGAACGUGCCCUUUGGUUCGGAAUAACUCAGGGAAACUUGAGCUAAUACCGGAUGUGCCCUUCGGGGGAAAGAUUUAUCGCCAUUGGAGCGGCCCGCGUUGGAUUAGCUAGUUGGUGGGGUAAAGGCCCACCAAGGCUACGAUCCAUAGCUGGUCUGAGAGGAUGAUCAGCCACACUGGGACUGAGACACGGCCCAGACUCCUACGGGAGGCAGCAGUGGGGAAUCUUGCGCAAUGGGCGAAAGCCUGACGCAGCCAUGCCGCGUGAAUGAUGAAGGUCUUAGGAUUGUAAAAUUCUUUCACCGGGGACGAUAAUGACGGUACCCGGAGAAGAAGCCCCGGCUAACUUCGUGCCAGCCGCCGCUGUAACAC
rnacentral:rRNA from 1 species